AGAAGACACGAUGUUUUUAUACAUGGUGGGUAUCCUAGCCGCAGUACGCAGUAAAAGAGUUUUCACCUAAGCGAGAUGAGGUGACGUCAUUGUUGCAGUUGACGUGAAGUGAGUGGGAUGAUUUAUCAUUGUUGUUUAUGUAGAGCGAACACAAAGUGACUUGGCUGUCGUCGUGGAGCGAGAAGGAAGGGACUUCAUUGAGCGUCAGACGAGGUGUAUAUUUGGAAGUGAUGUUGUCAAGGGAUGAGGAAUGCAGGUUGGGUAUUGCCAACACUUCCCCUCAAUCUGCAUUCAUUAUUCCUUCUCGCGAUGGCACAUUACCAUUUCGCUUCAACCAAUGCUCUUGAGCAGCUUGAGUAUGUAAUUGAUGAUUUACCACUGGUGAGACAUUCACGAUUUUGUUUCCAUUUUUUCUCUUUCAGUUCAUGUUACCGCCAUGUUAGCGAUUGAUCUUUUGUUGGUUGUGUUUAAUACUAGGUCUUGCUUCUUUCGGUCUGGCUUAUUGUUGUGAUUCUACAACGAGUUUGCAAGUUCUUCAAUCUCUUGCUCUCUUGGUUGUUGGUAUCCGUAUUGCAAAGGAACAAUGAAAGAGCUAUUGAUGUUUUUUUGGUGUUGCAAUCAACAGAGUUGCUGGGAGCUGGGAUUUUGUCAAAGACACUCUCCGAAGUUUUAUGUUGAGCGUUGUGGUUGUAGCAUAGGAAUCUUUAUGUCUUGGUUAGAAUGUAUGAAACAAGUUCAAGGAUUUUGGAGAGCAGAAUUCAAAAAAUUUAGAAUUUGGAACAAGGCAAAUGAGUACCUUCAAUUAAAAAGACAAGUUUAGACAAUCUAGGAUUGAAUUCUCCCUUUUUGUAUAUCUACCUUGUUACUAUUUUUAGUCUAUCCAAUUUUUAUUUUCAAUACAUUCAAUUGGUUCUAAAGCCUUUGUAAAAA
rnacentral:lncRNA from 1 species